rnacentral:rRNA from 1 species
GACGAACGCUGGCGGCGUGCUUAACACAUGCAAGUCGAACGGAAAGGCCCUGCUUUUGUGGGGUGCUCGAGUGGCGAACGGGUGAGUAACACGUGAGUAACCUGCCCUUGACUUUGGGAUAACUUCAGGAAACUGGGGCUAAUACCGGAUAGGAUCUCCUGCUGCAUGGUGGGGGUUGGAAAGUUUCGGCGGUUGGGGAUGGACUCGCGGCUUAUCAGCUUGUUGGUGGGGUAGUGGCUUACCAAGGCUUUGACGGGUAGCCGGCCUGAGAGGGUGACCGGCCACAUUGGGACUGAGAUGCGGCCGAGACUCCUACGGGAGGCAGCAGUGGGGAAUAUUGCACAAUGGGCGGAAGCCUGAUGCAGCAACGCCGCGUGCGGGAUGACGGCCUUCGGGUUGUAAACCGCUUUCGCCUGUGACGAAGCGUGAGUGACGGUAAUGGGUAAAGAAGCACCGGCUAACUACGUG